AACGGCCCUACCAUGCUGAAUAUACCGGUUCUCGUUAGAUCACCGAAGGUCAAGCAUCAUUGGGCGCGGUCAGUACUUGGGUGGGUGACCACCUGGGAACACCGCGUGCCGU
rnacentral:rRNA from 1 species